rnacentral:lncRNA from 1 species
CUAGGGCUAGGCAAACAGUUCACAGACGACAUAAAAAGCAUGAUUCCUAAAAGGAAAAACUGAUAAAUUGAGUUCCAUCAAAAUUAAAAGUAUUUCCUGUAUGAAAGACCCUGUUAAGAGGAUGAAAAGACCAGCUACAGACUGGGAGAAAAUAUUCGCAAACCACAUAUCUGACAAAGGACUAGUAUCUGGAGUGUAUAAAAAUCUCUCUAACCUCAACGGUUAAAAAAAAGCAAACAAUCCAACUAGCAUAUAGGCAAAAGAUGUGAAGAAACAUUUCACAAAAGAAGGUAUACAGAUGGCAAAUAAACACAUGGAAAGAUGUUCAACACAAAUUAAAACCACAAUGAGAUAGCCAUCAUACGCCUAUCAAAAUAGCUAAAAUAAAACAAAGUGACAUCUGAUGAGGAUGUGGGGAAAUGGAAUCCUUCACACACUGCUGGUAGGAAUGUAAAAUGGUACAGUCACAUGGUAAAACAGUUUGGCAGUUUCUUUUUUUUUUUUUUUUUUGGCGGAGUGGCGGAGUGUCGCUGUGUCGCCCAGGCCAGAGUGCGGUGGUGUGGUCUCAGCUCACUGCAAGCUCCGCCUCCCAGGUUCACGCCAUUUUCCUGCCUCAGCCUCCUACUAAUUUUUGGGUUUUUGUUAAUUUUUGGAAUAUGCAUUUAUUUCUCUGGAUACAAAAGAGACAUGGGGAUGUACGAUAAACAUUUCUCUCCUAUCCCUUGCCAAAUCACCCAGUUUCUCCCUGGAGUCAACCAAAUGCACUAGUAUCUAGUAUCUAUGCAAACACUCCUUUUCCCUACACACACACACACGAUAAACAAAUUAACAUACUUUGAACACUGUCUGCACCUUAUUUUUAUUUAUUUUUUUGAGACGGAGUCUCACUCCGUUGCCCAGGCUGGAGUGCAGUGGCCCUAUGUUGGCUCACUGCAAGCUCCGCCUCCUGGGUUCCAGCGAUUCUCCUGCCUCAGCCUCCCGAGCAGCCAGACUACAGGCGCCCGCCACCACGCCUGGCUAAUUUUUGUAUUUUUUAGUGGAGACGGGGUUUCACCAUAUUGGCCAGGCUGGUCUUGAACUCCUGACCUCAUGAUCCACCCAUCUUGGCCUCCCAAAGUACUGGGAUUACAGGUGUGAGCCACUGUGCCUGGCCUCUGCACCUUAUUUUUUAACUUAGUGAUGGAUCUUAGAGAUCAUUCCUCCUUAGUACAUACAGAGCUUUCUCAUCCUUUUUUUUUUUUAAUUGUUAUAUAUAUUAUGGCCCUUUAUGAAUGCAGCAUAACUAGGCCCCCACUGAUGAAGACAGAUUACCU